GGGUGGGACUGGCCAACUUCGUCCGCCGGACUCGGAAUGCGGCGAGACUUUGCGAGGUGCCUCCGUGUGCCAAAAAUAGGCUGCAGGCACAGCCGCACCCAAAAAUAACCGCCCGAAGGCCGGGGCGCCAAAUUCGUGCAGCGGAAAAAGGCCACAAAAACGGUUGGGCUAUAGCAUUGGGGGGUGGGGCUGGCGAACUUCGUCCGCCGGACUCGGAAUGGCGCGAGACUUUGCGAGGUUCCUCCGUGUGCCAAAAAUAGGCUGCGGGCACAGCCUCACCCAAAAAUCACCGGCCGAAGGCCGGGGCGCCAAGAUCGUCCAGCGGAAAAAGGCCACAAAAACGGGUGGGCUAUAGCAUUGGGGGGUGGGGCUGGCGAACUUCGUCCGGCAGACUCGGAAUGGCGCGAGACUUUGCGAGGUGCCUCCGUGUGCCAAAAAUAGGCCGCGGCCACAGCCGUGGCCAAAAAUAACGUCCCGAAGGCCGGGGCGCCAAGUUCGUCCAGCGGAAAAAGGCCACAAAAAUGGGUGGGCUAUAGCCUUGGGGGGUGGGGCUGGCCAACUUCGUCCGCCGGACUCGGAAUGGCGCGAGACUUUGUGAGGCACCUCUGUGUGCCAAAAAUAGGCCGCGGACACAGCCGCGCCCAAAAAUAACCGCCCGAAGGCCGGGGCGCCAGGUUCGUCCGGCGGAAAAAGGCCACAAAAACGGGUGGGCUAUAGCCUUGGGGGGUGGGGCUGGCCCACUUCGUCCGGCAGACUCGGAAUGGCGCGAGACUUUGCGAGGUGCCUCCGUGUGCCAAAAAUAGGCCGCGGCCACAGCCGCUGCCAAAAAUAACGUCCCGAAGGCCGGGGCGCCAUGUUCGUCCAGCGGGAAAAUGCCCCAAAAACGGGUGGGCUAUAACCUUGGGGGGUGGGGCUGGCCAACUUCAUCCGCCGGACUCGGAAUGGUGCGAGACUUUGCUAGGUGCCUCCGAUUACAAAAAAUAGGCCGCGGGCACAGCAGCGCCCAAAAAUAACCGCCCGAAGGCCGGGGCGCCAAGUUCGUCCAGCGGAAAAAGCCCACAAAAAGGGUUGGCUAUAGCCUUGGGGGGCGGGGAUGACCAACUUCGUCCGCCGGACUCGGAUUGGCGCGAUACUUUGCGAGGCACCUCCGUGUGCCAAAAAUAGGCCACAUGCACAGCCACGCCCAAAAAUAACCGCCCGAAGGCUGGAGCGCCAAGUUCGUCCAGCGGAAAAAGGCCACAAAAACGGGUGGGCUAUAGCAUUGGGGUGUGGGGCUGGCCAACUUCGUCCGCUGGACUCGGAAUGGCGCGAGACUUUGUGAGGGGCCUCCGUGUGCAGGAAAUAGGCUGCGGGUGGGCUAAAGCAUUGCGGUGUGGGGCUGGCCAACUUCGUCCGCCGGACUCGGAAUGCCGCGAGACUUUGCGAGGUGCCUCCGUGUGCCAAAAAUAGGCCGCGGGCACAGCCGUGGCCAAAAAUAACGGCCCGAAGGCCGGGGCGCCAAGUUCGUGCAGCGGAAAAAGGCCACAAAAACGGGUGGGCUAUAGCCUUGGGGGGUGGGGCUGGCCGACUUCGUCCGCCGGACUCGGAAUGGCGCAAGACUUUGGGAGGUGCCUCCGUGUGCCAAAAAUAGGCUGCGGGCACAGCCGCGCCCAAAAAUAACUGCCCGAAGGCCGGGGCGCCAAGUUCGUCCAGCGGAAAAAGGCCACAAAAACGGGUGGGCUAUAGCCUUGGGGGGUGGGGCUGGCCAACUUCGUCCGCCGGACUCGGAAUGGCGCGAGACUUUGCGAGGUGCCUCCGUGUGCUAAAAAUAGGCUGCGGGCACAGCCGCACCGAAAAAUCACGGCCCGAAGGCCGGGGCGCCAAGUUCGUCCAGCGGGAAAAUGCCCCAAAAACGGGUGGGCUAUAGCCUUGGGGGGUGGGGCUGACCAACUUCGUCCGCCGGACUCGGAUUGGCGCGACACUUUGCGAGGCACCUCCGUGUGCCAAAAAUAGGCCACAUGCACAGCCACGCCCAAAAACAACCGCCCGAAGGCUGGAGCGCCAAGUUCGUCCAGCGGAAAAAGGCCACAAAAACGGGUGGGCUAUAGCAUUGGGGUGUGGGGCUGGCCAACUUCGUCCGCUGGACUCGGAAUGGCGCGAGACUUUGCGAGGGGCCUCCGUGUGCAGGAAAUAGGCUGCGGGUGGGCUAUAGCAUUGGGGUGUGGGGCUGGCCAACUUCGUCCGCCAGACUCGGAAUGGCGCGAGACUUUGCGAGGGGCCUCCGUGUGCAGAAAAUAGGAUGCGGACACAGCCGCGCCCAAAAAUAACUGCCCGAAGGCCGGGGCGCCAAGUUCGUCCAGCGGAAAAAGGCCACAAAAACGGGUGGGCUAUAGCCUUGGGGGGUGGGGCUGGCCAACUUCGUCCGCCGGACUCGGAAUGGCGCGAGACUUUACGAGGCACCUCCGCGUGCCAAAAAUAGGCCAUGGGCACAGCCGCGCCCAAAAAUAACCGCCCGAAGGCCGGGGUGCCAUGUUCGUCCAGAGGAAAAAGCCCACAAAAACGGUUGGCUAUAGCCUUGGGGGGCGGGGCUGGCGAACUUCGUCCGCCGGACUCGGAAUGGUGCGAGACUUUGCGAGGUGCCUCUGUGUGCCAAAAAUAGGCUGUGGGCACAGCCGCACCCAAAAAUCACCGCCCGAAGGCCGGGGCGCCAAGUUCGUCCAGCGAAAAAAGGCCACAAAAACGGGUGGGCUAUAGCAUGGGGGGGUGGGGCUGGCCAACUUCGUCCGCCGGACUCGGAUUGGCACGAGACUUUGCGAGGCACCUCCGUGUGUAAAAAAUAGGCUGUGGGCACAGCCGCGCCCAAAAAUAACCGCCCGAAGGCCGGGGCGCCAAGUUCGUCCAGCGAAAAAUGGCCACAAAAAUGGGUGGGCAAUAGCAAUGGGGGGUGGGGCUGGCCGACUUCGUCCACCGGACUCGGAAUGGCGCGAGACAUUGCGAGGUGCCUCCGUGUGCCAAAAAUAGGCUGCGGACACAGCCGCACCCAAAAAUAACCGCCCGAAGGCUGGGGCGCCAAGUUCGUCCAGCGGAAAAAGGCCACAAAAACGGGUGGGCUAUAGCCUUGGGGGGUGGGGCUAGCCAACUUCGCCCGCUGGACUUGGAAUGGCGCGAGACUUUGCGAGGCGCCUCCGUCUGCCAAAAGUAGGCCGGGGCGCCAAGUUCGUCCAGCGAAAAAAGGCCACAAAAACGGGUGGGCUAUAGCCUUGGGAGGUGGGGCUGGCCAACUUCGUCCGCCGGACUCGGAAUGGCGCGAGACUUUUCCAGGCACAUCCGUGUGCCAAAAAUAGGCUGCGGGCACAGCCGCAUCCAAAAAUAACGGCCCGAAGGCUGCGGCGCCAAGUUCGGCCAGCGGAAAAAGGCCACAAAACCGGGUGGGCUAUAGCCUUGGGGGGUGGGGAUGGCCUACUUCGUCCGCCGGACUCGGAAUGGCGCGAGACUUUGCGAGGUGCCUCCGUGUGCGAAAAAUAGGCUACGGGAACAGCCGCGCCCAAAAAUAACCUCGCGAAGGCCGGGAUGCCAAGUUUGUCCAGCGGAAAAAGUCCACAAAAACGGGUGGGCUAUAGCCUUGGGGGGUUGUGCUGGCCAACUACGUCCGCCGGACUCGGAAUGGUGUGAGAUGUUGUGAGGCCCCUCCGUGUACCAAAAAUAGGCUGCGGGCACAGCCGUGCCCAAAAAUAACCGCCCAAAGGCCGGGGCGCCAAGUUCGUCCUGCGGAAAAAGGCACAAAAACGGUUGGCUAUAGCCUUGGGGGGCGGGGCUGGCGAACUUCGUCCGCCGGACUCGGAAUGGUGCGAGACUUUGCGAGGUGCCUCUGUGUGCCAAAAAUAGGCUGUGGGCACAGCCGCACCCAAAAAUCACCGCCCGAAGGCCGGGGCGCCAAGUUCGUCCAGCGAAAAAAGGCCACAAAAACGGGUGGGCUAUAGCAUGGGGGGGUGGGGCUGGCCAACUUCGUCCGCCGGACUCGGAUUGGCACGAGACUUUGCGAGGCACCUCCGUGUGUAAAAAAUAGGCUGUGGGCACAGCCGCGCCCAAAAAUAACCGCCCGAAGGCCGGGGCGCCAAGUUCGUCCAGCGAAAAAUGGCCACAAAAAUGGGUGGGCAAUAGCAAUGGGGGGUGGGGCUGGCCGACUUCGUCCACCGGACUCGGAAUGGCGCGAGACAUUGCGAGGUGCCUCCGUGUGCCAAAAAUAGGCUGCGGACACAGCCGCACCCAAAAAUAACCGCCCGAAGGCUGGGGCGCCAAGUUCGUCCAGCGGAAAAAGGCCACAAAAACGGGUGGGCUAUCGCCUUGGGGGGUGGGGCUGGCCAACUUCGUCCGCCGGACUCGGAAUGGCGCGAGACUUUGCGAGGCGCCUCUGUGUGCCAAAAAUAGAGCGCGGACACAGCCACGCCCAAAAAUAACCGCCCGAAGGCCGGGGCGCCAUGUUCGUCCAGCGGGAAUAUGCCCCAAAAACGGGUGGGCUAUAACCUUGGGGGGUGGGGCUGGCCAACUUCAUCCGCCGGACUCGGAAUGNN
rnacentral:lncRNA from 1 species